CCGGCAACGGAAUAUAUUUGUACUUCGAGAUCAUUUUGUUCCUGUUUUGGCGCGGAUUCUUCUUUCCUUUGUAAUCCACCUAGGGUUCUUUUCUUCUUUAAUUCUCCUUCCUCCUCUCGUCCUCCUCCUCCUCCUCCAACAGCAGCAGUAACCACCACCACCUCCUCGACACCGAUGAUCCCACCCCCUUGCCAUCAUCACUAUCUCCCCCACGCCUUAUGAUUGCUUCUUCUCCUUUCUCCCCUUGCAGGGCUCUGUUUCUUGGAUGUUGUUCGAUCCGCCUACCUCGCGACCGAGCCGCCUCGGCUCCCUAUUGCUGCGCAGUGCUGCUAUGCUAGAUUGUACUUGAUGAAAUCGGACAAGCCUCAAAGGCCAUCUAGUGGAUUUGGGAAGCUUGUUCUUGUUAAAAAGGCAUGUUCACCAUUUAAUCUUGCAGUAGGUGGAGAGGGGACUGGAACGGAUUCGUGCUAUUCGUUUGACUCUUCUGGUGAGAUACACUUCUCUAUUUGCAGAUACUGGUUUUAUUGCUGCAUGCCGCUUUGUGGAAUUAUGGGCUGCUUCUGAGUUCAAUAGUAAGAGUAAAGAGUAUAGAUUAGUAAGAAGAAUUAUUCAUCUUCUCCUUUAGCGUAAUUAUAACAUAAGAUUCCCAUAAACAUACCAUCUAGGGAAACACUAGCACCUCAAGAAUCUUUUUUAUUAGGAUGAACAAUGGCCUACUCCUAACAGGACACCAAAUUUUUAGUACAUUCUAUUCCCUCAGAGAAUAAACUGUUUUCUUUGUUUAAUGAUUUUUCUAAUAGGAAAACAAGCUCGUCUAGAUUGGAAAACCCUUUCUUGAACAUUUUUGAACAUGCAAAUGAAUUAGGGAGUUGGAUACAGACCAUAUGAUUCUCAAUGAAAUGACAGCCCAAAGAUGUAGCAAUCAUUAAGGUGGAGUUGGUUCAGGUUAUAAGUAAUUGUCUAUUUGAAGUAUUUAUAAAUUUUAACAGCAAAAGAAAGAGUAAAUUAAAUGGUUUGAUAAUAGUAAUAGUAAUAUAAAUUGUUUAAAGCUGUCACUAUGGCAGUGCCCUGAUCCUGUUUGUAGCCUCUAGUCUAUGGUUAUGGCUUAAAACUAGUAUAAUGAUAUCCUUGUGGACAUUGUUUGGUCAGUAGAAUAUCUCUUUUUGUUGAGAUUAUUAAGCAAAAUAAAAUACUUUGGGCAGUCAGAACUAGAGGGGGGAAGGAGGCAGCAAACACUAUCAGAAAGAGGAGUCACUUAGAAAUUUGGUUUCAAAAAAUUCUUAGUUGACUUGUAUAAAUACACUAUUCUAUGCGGAAAUUUGUUUUUGAUAAAUUCUUAAUUGACUUAUUUAAAUACACUAUUAUAUCUCCUGUGGUUUAAUCUUAUUUUUGGACAAAGCUGAUGAAGCAUAUUCAAGAAGACAAUCUUGUCCCCCAAAACCUAAUGCUUUUUGUGGGUUUUUGUUUGUUUUAUUGGCAUUUGUAUAUCUUUAGACAAAGCUGAUAGAGCAUCUGGUUUCCCCCCCCUAAAACUACAUAUUUUUCCUGGUAUUUUGUUUGUUCUAUUGGAAUUCUUGAUAUCAGACAUGAGGGUAAUGCUGUCGUUUGGGUUAACAAUGCCCGCGUGCUGUGGUGGCCACCACCUGAUAUGAUGUUUGUUGCAAUCUGGAAUUUUGAUUUUUUUUGCUUUCAAAUUAUUCUUUUUGAUAAAGCAGAUGUUUGAUUGCUAAGAUUAAUAGGUGGAAUUUACUCCUGCAUGUUCAUUUUAUUUUCUAUUGUGGCUACACUUAAUUGUUUAUGAAUGGAAAUUCCUUUUUAUCUUUUUUGAUAA